GACGAACGCUGGCGGCAGGCCUAACACAUGCAAGUCGAGCGAGCGGCGGACGGGUGAGUAAUGUAUGGGGACUGCCCGAUAGAGGGGGAUAACUACUGGAAACGGUGGCUAAUACCGCAUACUGUCGGAUAACCCAUAUGGGAUUAGCUAGUAGGUAAGGUAAUGGCUUACCUAGGCGACGAUCCCUAGCUGGUCUGAGAGGAUGAUCAGCCACACUGGGACUGAGACACGGCCCAGACUCCUACGGAGGCAGCAGUGGGGAAUCUUCCGCAAUGGACGAAAGUCUGACGGAGCAACGCCGCGUGAGUGAAGACGGCCUUCGGGUUGUAAAGCUCUGUGAUCCGGGACGCGGUACCGGAAAAGCAAGCCACGGCUAACUACGUGCCAGCAGCCGCGGUAAUAC
rnacentral:rRNA from 1 species